UACCUAGUUUAAAUUUUAAUGAUAAGUACAGCAAAAAAGUACAAAAAUACACAUUAUAACAAUAUUAAUGGUAUUGGGUAAAAAUUCUACGACAAAAACAAUAACAGUAGUUAUUUUUUUAAUUUUUACACCAUAUAGCACAAGAAUUAAUAUAAAGUUUCAACAAAUAUAAAAAGCACUUUAGAAUAUACCUGUAUACAACAUAUCAAUAUUUUUUUUAACAACUUAACAAAUUUUAGUACUUUAUAACUAUUUUUCCCAUACUAUAUUAUUUUGAACGUUACAAAUCUAUUUUGAAUUUCAAUUAGUUCAUACGUGAAGUACCAUGUUUACAUACAAAUUGUGCCGCAGUGAAAUAGAAAACUACCGUAAUUGAUAGAUCUUGUAAGUGAUUACAUGUGCCAAAUAUUUUUAGUUAUUUUAUACCGGUAGUUCUAUUUAAUAUAGAAAAAUCUAUAAUUAAUGAAUCAUUUCACAAUUGAAUUGUUAAUAUGGUCAAUAUAUACUUGAGAUUUUCUUUAAUCUUUUAAAGAAUGAUUUAUAUAUUCAAAUGGAAAUAUACAUCUGAAGAAUUACAAAGACCAAAAGGUAAAGUUCUUUUGAGCAUGUAUCCAUAAUCUUGAAAGUUAUAAACUAUAGUAAUUCGGUAACUAUGGUUAGACCUUGAACUUAUUGUGUCAAUUGUAGAUUUCCAUCAAAUCACAUUGCUGUCUUUGUAUCUAAUAAUUUUUCUUUGAGUCUGUACUUUCAUUUUGUAAAUAUCUACAUGUAUAUCUCAAUAUGUUUACUUCUAUAUCAUUAGUAUAGUGUUUUUUUAACUUAAUGUACAAUGACAAUUCUUGUCAUCCUCAAUUUGUGUUGCAUUGCAAAGACUAUAAUUUUAAAGAUAACUAAAACAGAAGCUAGAACAGGUUAAGUUACAAUUAAGGGGAGACUAUCUAUUAAAUGUUCAAGCUCCAUUUCAAUAUUUUUUCAUUUAUAAUUUCUUAAAUGUGGUACUUUAAAACAAGCACAAAUUAAUGUGAGAUUCCUUAUAAGUAUGUAUACAUAAUAAAGCAUUCAAUGCUAUUUUACUUGUGAUGAGGCCACAUAAAUACUUACAAAUUAGUUUAAACAUUUUUUAUAACCAGACAUUUAUUACUUGAAAUUUAAAUAGAUGAUUAAUUACAACAUGAAAAGCCGAUUUUAUUUGUGGCCUCCAAUUCUUGUCUUCUGUGUUUCUAAACAAAUCUCUUAAUCACAAAGUGAAUUUAAACAUCUUCUGUAAAUUUUAGCAAUCUGUCAGCAUUUAAUCAAUUGGCACAAAAAUAUGACCAUCUAUUAAAGAUUUUUUUUGUUGAAUAUAUUUUAUAUAGUUUUAGUUUUUCUUGAUUAGGUUCAUGGUGUAUGACAAAUCACAUUAAAAAUCUUUUUGAGUGUUUUUAACAUCAUCUGUAUCAAAUUAUAUUUAAGUACAAUUAUUCUAGUAUCAGUUUUUAUCCCUCAUAAAAAUUACUAUUUGAUAUAUAAGUAAUUAGUAUGCUCUACACUAUAUCUGAAUUUUAUAUAUUCAUGAUUUACUUACUACAUGUUACAUGCAAACUAAAUCUUAACAACGAUAGAUAUUAUACAAUAUAUUACACAUUGUCAAUAAGAGAAUAUAUUUACUUCACAUGACUGGAAUGAUUGAAAGAUUAAUGAAAAGCUGCGUCAAAUCCAAAUUUGUCUAAAGUUCAAAGGUUAAACAAAACCAGAAUGACUCUGUAAAUUCAUUUUAGUACAAGUGAUUUGUUGUCGAAAAAGCUUAAAAUAGCGUGUUUAUCAAGAUUUUACUUUUUCAACAUUUAAUAGCAAUAGUUUUGAAAAGAAGGAAUUAUGUGGUCUGCGAGAUCAAAGUUCAAAGUUCACACUUCCAAAUGGUCGCUGAGUUCAACACCAUUUACAAUAUAUCUAAACCCAAAGUUAGAUCAGAACAGUCCAUGAUUUGGUUUGUUCAGAACAACAUCCAUUGAUAAAAUAUAUCGUCACACAUCACCAGACAAAUUUUUUAUUUAUUCAUUGGUACAUGAUAUCUGCCAGGAUAAACAACAGUAACCAAAACAUAGUGUAAGUGUGAACACAUAUCUUAUUGUUCUCAUCUCGUCACCAAAGAACGCCGAAAAAUUGUCACAAUAUUUGUUUUGUUAAAUGUUUUUGCCCGUUAGUCCGCAACUUGAUGAUAUUACAUAAGAAAGCCAAAUUUUUAUUCAUCUUUGGAUGUGUCAAAGAUUUUUAAGACAUCCUUAAUAGUGCAAGAAAGUCAAUUUUAACCAAAAUGCUAAUUUAUCUAAACAGUACUCAAAGUCUGAGAAACUUCUUCAAGAUCUACAGAUGCACUUCUAAACACUGGUCAUGAACUGAACUGAUCUAACCACAAAAGACAGCAACUGUCAACAAUAAUAUUGUAAAUGAAAUACAUACAUUCAUUUAAUAUUUAUACAAUUCUAUCUAUAGUAACAUAAAAAAUAUUAAUGACGAAGAAAAA
rnacentral:lncRNA from 1 species